GAUGAACGCUAGCGAUAGGCCUAACACAUGCAAGUCGAACGCAUACCGAAGAGUAUGAGUGGCAAACGGGUGAGUAACGCGUGAGAAACCUACCUUACAGCCCGGUCAAAAUCUUUUAGAGAUGAAUCCCGGAUAUUUGAAAAAACAAAGGCAAAGAACCGUUGUAAGAUGAGCUCGCGUAGGAUUAGGUAGUUGGUGAGGUGAGAGCUUAUCCAAGCCGAUGAUCCUUAGCUGGUCUGAGAGGAUGAUCAGCCACACUGGGACUGAGACACGGCCCAGACGCUCUCGAGCGGCAGCAGUGAGGAAUUUUGGACAAUGGGCGAAAGCCUGAUCCAGCUAUAUCGCAUGAAUGAAGAAGGCUCAAUUGGUUGUAAAAUUCAUACUUUCAUUGUAGAUUAUGACACUGAUGGAAAGAAAAGUCCCGGCCAACUCCGUGCCAGCAGCCGCAGUAACAC
rnacentral:rRNA from 1 species